CCAGAGAACUUAGCAGAGAUGCCUUUUUGGGUGCCCUUCGGGGAACUCUGAGACAGGUGCUGCAUGGCUGUCGUCAGCUCGUGUUGUGAAAUGUUGGGUUAAGUCCCGCAAGAGCGCAACCCCUAUCCUUUGUUGCCAGCGAUUCGGUCGGGAACUCAAAGGAGACUGCCGGUGAUAAACCGGAGGAAGGUGGGGAUGACGUCAAGUCAUCAUGGCCCUUACGAGUAGGGCUACACACGUGCUACAAUGGCGCAUACAAAGAGAAGCGACCUCGCGAGAGCAAGCGGACCUCAUAAAGUGCGUCGUAGUCCGGAUUGGAGUCUGCAACUCGACUCCAUGAAGUCGGAAUCGCUAGUAAUCGUAGAUCAGAAUGCUACGGUGAAUACGUUCCCGGGCCUUGUACACACCGCCCGUCACACCAUGGGAGUGGGUUGCAAAAGAAGUAGAUAGCUUAACCUUCGGGAGGGCGUUUACCACUUUGUGAUUCAUGACUGGGGUGAAGUCGUAACAAGGUAAGCGUAGCGAG
rnacentral:rRNA from 1 species